rnacentral:piRNA from 1 species
UCAUAAACUACAACUUCAGCA